AGUGAACGCUGGCGGUAGGCCUAACACAUGCAAGUCGAACGGCAGCACAGUAAGAGCUUGCUCUUACGGGUGGCGAGUGGCGGACGGGUGAGGAAUACAUCGGAAUCUACUUUUUCGUGGGGGAUAACGUAGGGAAACUUACGCUAAUACCGCAUACGACCUACGGGUGAAAGCAGGGGAUCUUCGGACCUUGCGCGAUUGAAUGAGCCGAUGUCGGAUUAGCUAGUUGGCGGGGUAAAGGUCCACCAAGGCGACGAUCCGUAGCUGGUCUGAGAGGAUGAUCAGCCACACGGGAACUGAGGCACGGUCCAGACUCCUACGGGAGGCAGCAGUGGGGAAUAUUGGACAAUGGGCGCAAGCCUGAUCCAGCCAUACCGCGUGGGUGAAGAAGGACUUCGGGUUGUAAAGCCCUUUUGUUGGGAAAGAAAAGCAGCAGGUUAAUACCCCGCUGUUCUGACGGUACCCAAAGAAUAAGCACCGGCUAACUUCGUG
rnacentral:rRNA from 1 species